CCUACGGGAGGCUGCAGUGGGGAAUUUUCCGCAAUGGGCGAAAGCCUGACGGAGCAACGCCGCGUGAGGGAGGAAGGCCUUUGGGUUGUAAACCUCUUUUGUUAGGGAAGAAGCAAGUGACGGUACCUAACGAAUCAGCAUCGGCUAACUCCGUGCCAGCAGCCGCGGUAAUACGGAGGAUGCAAGCGUUAUCCGGAAUUAUUGGGCGUAAAGCGUCCGCAGGUGGAAUUUCAAGUCGGCUGUCAAAGCCCGUAGCUUAACUACGGUCAGGCAGU
rnacentral:rRNA from 1 species